rnacentral:rRNA from 1 species
GGACGAACGCUGGCGGCGUGCCUAAUACAUGCAAGUCGAACGAACUCUGGUAUUGAUUGGUGCUUGCAUCAUGAUUUACAUUUGAGUGAGUGGCAAACUGGUGAGUAACACGUGGGAAACCUGCCCAGAAGCGGGGGAUAACACCUGGAAACAGAUGCUAAUACCGCAUAACAACUUGGACCGCAUGGUCCGAGUUUGAAAGAUGGCUUCGGCUAUCACUUUUGGAUGGUCCCGCGGCGUAUUAGCUAGAUGGUGGGGUAACGGCUCACCAUGGCAAUGAUACGUAGCCGACCUGAGAGGGUAAUCGGCCACAUUGGGACUGAGACACGGCCCAAACUCCUACGGGAGGCAGCAGUAGGGAAUCUUCCACAAUGGACGAAAGUCUGAUGGAGCAACGCCGCGUGAGUGAAGAAGGGUUUCGGCUCGUAAAACUCUGUUGUUAAAGAAGAACAUAUCUGAGAGUAACUGUUCAGGUAUUGACGGUAUUUAACCAGAAAGCCACGGCUAACUACGUGCCAGCAGCCGCGGUAAUACGUAGGUGGCAAGCGUUGUCCGGAUUUAUUGGGCGUAAAGCGAGCGCACGCGGUUUUUUAAGUCUGAUGUGAAAGCCUUCGGCUCAACCGAAGAAGUGCAUCGGAAACUGGGAAACUUGAGUGCAGAAGAGGACAGUGGAACUCCAUGUGUAGCGGUGAAAUGCGUAGAUAUAUGGAAGAACACCAGUGGCGAAGGCGGCUGUCUGGUCUGUAACUGACGCUGAGGCUCGAAAGUAUGGGUAGCAAACAGGAUUAGAUACCCUGGUAGUCCAUACCGUAAACGAUGAAUGCUAAGUGUUGGAGGGUUUCCGCCCUUCAGUGCUGCAGCUAACGCAUUAAGCAUUCCGCCUGGGGAGUACGGCCGCAAGGCUGAAACUCAAAGGAAUUGACGGGGGCCCGCACAAGCGGUGGAGCAUGUGGUUUAAUUCGAAGCUACGCGAAGAACCUUACCAGGUCUUGACAUACUAUGCAAAUCUAAGAGAUUAGACGUUCCCUUCGGGGACAUGGAUACAGGUGGUGCAUGGUUGUCGUCAGCUCGUGUCGUGAGAUGUUGGGUUAAGUCCCGCAACGAGCGCAACCCUUAUUAUCAGUUGCCAGCAUUAAGUUGGGCACUCUGGUGAGACUGCCGGUGACAAACCGGAGGAAGGUGGGGAUGACGUCAAAUCAUCAUGCCCCUUAUGACCUGGGCUACACACGUGCUACAAUGGAUGGUACAACGAGUUGCGAACUCGCGAGAGUAAGCUAAUCUCUUAAAGCCAUUCUCAGUUCGGAUUGUAGGCUGCAACUCGCCUACAUGAAGUCGGAAUCGCUAGUAAUCGCGGAUCAGCAUGCCGCGGUGAAUACGUUCCCGGGCCUUG